rnacentral:misc_RNA from 1 species
GAUGAAGAACGUAGCGAAACGCGAUAUGUAAUGUGAAUUGCAGAAUUCAGUGAAUCAUCGAAUCUUUGAACGCACAUGGCGCCUUCCAGUAUCCUGGGAGGCAUGCCUGUCCGAGCGUCGUUUCAACCCUCGAGCCCCCGUGGCCCGGCGUUGGGGAUCUGCCCAGGCAGUCCCCGAAAACCAGUGGCGGACCCGUUACAGGCCCUUCCCUUGCGUAGUAGCAUUCGCCUCGCAUCGGGAGCCGGCGGGCUUCCAGCCUCUAAACCCCCAUCAAGUCCGCCCCGGCGGCACCAAGGUUGACCUCAGAUCAGGUAGGAAUACCCGCUGAACUUAAGCAUAUCAUAAGCGGAGGA